rnacentral:rRNA from 1 species
AGCAGCCGCGGUAAUUCCAGCUCCAAUAGCGUAUAUUAAAGUUGUUGCAGUUAAAAAGCUCGUAGUUGAAUUUCGGGAUUGACGUGACGGUCGUGCCUUAAGGGGUAUGAACUGUUACAGUCAAUUUCUCACCUUCUGGAGAAAUAUGAUGUCCUUAAUUGGGUGUCAUAUGGAACCAGGACUUUUACCUUGAAAAAUUAGAGUGUUUAAAGCAAGCUUAUUGCUCGAAUACAUUAGCAUGGAAUAAUAAAAUAGGACGGCAUGAUUCUAUUUUGUUGGUUUCUAGGAUCACCGUAAUGAUUAAUAGGGAUAGUUGGGGGCAUUAGUAUUCAAUUGUCAGAGGUGAAAUUCUUGGAUUUAUUGAAGACUAACUACUGCGAAAGCAUUUGCCAAGGAUGUUUUCAUUAAUCAAGAACGAAAGUUAGGGGAUCGAAGACGAUCAGAUACCGUCGUAGUCUUAACCAUAAACUAUGCCGACUAGGAAUCAGA